rnacentral:sRNA from 1 species
UCGAGAUCUCCCUCUCCCGUUCUGCAGU